UACGUAGGGGGCAAGCGUUGUCCGGAUUUAUUGGGCGUAAAGAGCGUGUAGGCGGCCAGGUAGGUCAGCUGUGAAAACUCGAGGCUCAACCUCGAGACGUCGGUUGAAACCACCUGGCUAGAGUCCGGAAGAGGAGAGUGGAAUUCCUGGUGUAGUGGUGAAAUGCGCAGAUAUCAGGAAGAACACCCGUGGCGAAGGCGGCUCUCUGGGACGGUACUGACGCUGAGACGCGAAAGCGUGGGGAGCGAACAGG
rnacentral:rRNA from 1 species